GAUGAAGAACGUAGCAAAAUGCGAUACUUGGUGUGAAUUGCAGAAUCCCGUGAACCAUCGAGUUUUUGAACGCAAGUUGCGCCCGAAGCCUUUUGGCCGAGGGCACGUCUGCCUGGGCGUCACGCAUCGCGUCGCCCCCCACAAUACUCCGUAAAGGGAACAUGUGUUUUGGGGGCGGAUAUUGGUCUCCCGUGCUCAUGGCGUGGUUGGCCGAAAUAGGAGUCCUUUCGAUGGACGCACGAACUAGUGGUGGUCGUAAAAACCCUCGUCUUUUGUUUCGUGCUGUUGCUCGCAACGUAAACUCUUUAAAAACCCCAAUGUGUCGUCUCUUGACGACGCUUCGACCGCGACCCCAGGUCAGGCGGGACUACCCGCUGAGUUUAAGCAUAUCAAUAAGCGGAGGA
rnacentral:misc_RNA from 1 species